ACUAUGGCUGACUAUGAAAGGGAAUUUUGAAAGGUAUAUACAGUCCAACAUGGGUACCUUCGGGACCUCAUCAACGUGUCUGCAUUAAUUAAUAGCCGUAUAGAAGGUAUAUAUACCGUGGAUGUUUAAAUUUUGAUGGGCGAAUGAUUUGGGCAAUGUUAAACUUAACUCGAGACAAAUCUCAUUUGUCAGCCCGUGAUGGUAGCUUAUUUCCCGUUAAAAGAGGGUAGCUAUUAUAAUAGUGGGGGCUAUGAUAGAGGGGGCUAUGAUAAAGGGGGCCAUUUGAAAUGGAAUUUUAAAGGAUUAUCGCCUACCGGUUUCAUGACACACAACUCGUUUCCAAUUUUCUGCCUAAACUUCCAUGCCUUCGUACGAAAGAGUUCCCGUUUCUACAAAAUUGGAACAAUGUUGACUGUCUACACAAAAAGUUAUUAAUAGUAAACAAAUUUUAUUACUGUAAUCCAACUCCCAUCAUGCAAAUAGAAUUAUUUGAACCAAAUUAACUCAUAAAUGUGGAGUGAAUACGGUUCAAAAUACCUCCACUGGAUUUAAAUUAACUGAAAUUAACAGUGUUAUACUCAUAAAACGGUUCCACUUGUGUGUACGAAUAUGCCGAUAUAGCUAGUGCGGUUAUAACUGCAGAAAACCAAACAGAAAGAUAAGAAAAAUCAUCAAGCUGUUUGAGCUAGCUAUACCGGAAAUGUUCGUGGUUGAGUCUCGAACCAAACCACAAAACAAUAUCAACAUCACAUUUCCAAAAGAUUUUUUUUUUUUUUUUAAUUUUAUUUUCCCAUGUACAUUACAAUUAUUAAUAUAUUAUUACAAAAUAACUAUUUGGGCUAGAGACCUACUAGAAACUUUUGCAGGCUUUUGUUUCUAGGCCACAAGUCAUGCCCUAUUCAGAUUAUUUUGUUAUUUACAGUAAUUUUUAAGAUAAUAUUAAAUGCAGAAGAAAAGUUUUACAAGGUACAUACAAGAUAUUUACAAAUUUGAGGUAUGAAGGGUAAAUACUGUAGUGUUUACAAUAUUAAGAUAUACUAGUUAGAUUUUUAUGUGGUAUUAUUUGCACAAUGACAAUGCAUGGACAUUGUCUGCAUAAAGAAAGUGUGAUUUCUGAAUCUAUGUAUUUGUAACUGGAUUUAGUAUAAAGUGUUGCUUAAUUAGUUUCUUGAAGGUAUUAUCGAAACUUAUAUCUUUCAGAUUUGUUUCUAAUUUGUUCCACACAUCAACUCCUUUAUUUGAAAGAAUGUGUUUUCCAUAAUUUGUUCUCUUAUAACAUUAAAAAAAUCUUGGAAUGAAAACAGUAAUGUCAUUUUUGCAUAUGGUGCA
rnacentral:lncRNA from 1 species